AUUGAACGCUGGCGGCAUGCCUUACACAUGCAAGUCGAACGGCAGCGCGGACUUCGGUCUGGCGGCGAGUGGCGAACGGGUGAGUAAUACAUCGGAACGUACCCUGUUGUGGGGAUAACUAGUCGAAAGAUUAGCUAAUACCGCAUACGACCUGAGGGUGAAAGUGGGGGACCGCAAGGCCUCACGCAGCAGGAGCGGCCGAUGUCUGAUUAGCUAGUUGGUGGGGUAAAGGCCCACCAAGGCGACGAUCAGUAGCUGGUCUGAGAGGACGAUCAGCCACACUGGGACUGGGACACGGCCCAGACUCCUACGGGAGGCAGCAGUGGGGAAUUUUGGACAAUGGGGGCAACCCUGAUCCAGCAAUGCCGCGUGUGUGAAGAAGGCCUUCGGGUUGUAAAGCACUUUUGUCCGGAAAGAAAUCGCGCUGGUUAAUACCUGGCGUGGAUGACGGUACCGGAAGAAUAAGCACCGGCUAACUACGUGCCAGCCGCCGCCGUAA
rnacentral:rRNA from 1 species